rnacentral:lncRNA from 1 species
ACAUCUCACUUUUUGUUUUGUUCUCUGAGUUUACUGCAUUACGUAUACAUUAAUGCUACAAUCAGAAAAUCGUAAGUGCUAUUCAGAUGAAUACUGAUGAUCUUUUGGAAGGGUGGUUAAGUUCUCACAUACAUGUGUUUAACUCUAGUCAUCAUUCCCCGGAUUGAACGCACCCUUGCUUAUAUCAUCACAGAACUGGAUGAGAGAGAGCGAGAAGAAUUCUAUAGGUUAAAGAAAAUCCAGGAGAAGAAAAAGAUUAUCAAGGAGAAAAGCGAGAAGGACUUGGAGCGGCGGAGAGCAGCUGGAGAGGUGAUGGAGCCUGCCAACCUCCUGGCGGAAGAGAAGGACGAGGACCUGCUGUUCGAGUAGCUGCCCGCUGCUCCCUUCAGGCUGAGCAUCAUUUAACUCAGUGUGCAGGUUCGGUAUGUGCAGGUAUUUAUUUUGGCAGAAGAGUUCAUCUGGCUGUAAGAUUUAUCAGAAUGCUGUGUGAGACCAUUUUUCCUGCAUCAUAAU